UGGGGAAUAUUGCACAAUGGGCGAAAGCCUGAUGCAGCGACGCCGCGUGAGGGAUGACGGCCUUCGGGUUGUAAACCUCUUUCAGCAGGGAAGAAGCGAAAGUGACGGUACCUGCAGAAGAAGCGCCGGCUAACUACGUGCCAGCAGCCGCGGUAAUACGUAGGGCGCAAGCGUUGUCCGGAAUUAUUGGGCGUAAAGAGCUCGUAGGCGGUUAGUCGCGUCUGCUGUGAAAACUCGAGGCUCAACCUCGGGCUUGCAGUGGGUACGGGCUGACUAGAGUGCGGUAGGGGUGACUGGAAUUCCUGGUGUAGCGGUGGAAUGCGCAGAUAUCAGGAGGAACACCGAUGGCGAAGGCAGGUCACUGGGCCGCAACUGACGCUGAGGAGCGAAAGCAUGGGGAGCGAACAGGAUUAGAUACCCUGGUAGUCCAUGCCGUAAACGUUGGGCGCUAGGUGUGGGUCCAUUCCACGGAUUCCGUGCCGCAGCAAACGCAUUAAGUGCCCCGCCUGGGGAGUACGGCCGCAAGGCUAAAACUCAAAU
rnacentral:rRNA from 1 species